GAUGAACGCUGGCGGCGUGCCUAAUACAUGCAAGUCGAGCGAGCAGACGAGGAGCUUGCUCCUCUGACGUUAGCGGCGGACGGGUGAGUAACACGUGGAUAACCUACCUAUAAGACUGGGAUAACUUCGGGAAACCGGAGCUAAUACCGGAUAAUAUAUUGAACCGCAUGGUUCAAUAGUGAAAGACGGUUUUGCUGUCACUUAUAGAUGGAUCCGCGCCGCAUUAGCUAGUUGGUAAGGUAACGGCUUACCAAGGCAACGAUGCGUAGCCGACCUGAGAGGGUGAUCGGCCACACUGGAACUGAGACACGGUCCAGACUCCUACGGGAGGCAGCAGUAGGGAAUCUUCCGCAAUGGGCGAAAGCCUGACGGAGCAACGCCGCGUGAGUAAUGAAGGUCUUCGGAUCGUAAAACUCUGUUAUUAGGGAAGAACAAAUGUGUAAGUAACUAUGCACGUCUUGACGGUACCUAAUCAGAAAGCCACGGCUAACUACGUG
rnacentral:rRNA from 1 species